UGCUCCAAAUAGUCCUUUAGUAAUGUGGCAAUAAGUUGUGGAUGUGGGAAGUAUUCUACAGCAGGUCCUGAAAUAACAUCAUUUCCUUCGACAUCAUUUUGUUAUAAAACCUAUGAGAAAAAAAAUUAAUUCCCAGCUGGGGUCACUGUCUAUGUGGAGUUGGCACGUUCUCCCUAUGUCUGCAGGUUUUUUCGCAGGUGGAGCAGAGUGGCUGGAGUGGGCUUGAUUUGUGUGUUUCCCUUCUCAUUGGAAGGCUAGACCUGACUGGAGUUGAGUAUUUCUCUUCCCCCAGGUCAGUUAGGCUGUGAUAAUACCCCAGCAGCUUAGGUUCUGGUUAACUAGUUUCCCUUGAGUGCAGUCCUCUUUAAGAAGAACAGAGUGUUCUGCUGUAUUUCAAAAUGGUUCCUUUUCCCCUCCCUCUGCUGGAAACCCAAGGGGAUUUUUCUCUGAUAUUUACUGUAAGAACUGGGUUGAGUGCCUGGAGGGAAAACUCACAAAAGUGGAGGGUGGGCAGUGUGAUUGGUCUCUCUGGAGUUUUUAACUCUCAUGCUUGUUUGCACUGAGCCUCCAGCAAUUCAGCAAUUUGUCAAUUACUGUUCAGAUGCUCCUACCCCAGCCCUGGUUCUCUUGGCAGUUUCCACCGUGCAUUUCUGCUCCAGUAAGCCUUCAUUCCCUGUAGUUGCCUGUCUGUCUCUCCAAUCCUGGGGACAACAGCGGUUUGCCCUGUGUUCUACCCUUUCUUCCUGAUCCAGCAAGAGUUUGUUUUUCCAUCCAUUUAGCUUUUUACUUGUUAGAAUAAAUUGAUGACUUCUAAGCUCUGUAGGUGUGGAACCAGAAACAAUAAAUGCAACCGAAGACUUUAAAAUUGAAUUUUACCAAUGUAUACCCAUACCAGCAGUGAGUGUUCCAGAUACCUUCCUCCUUAUCACUACUUAAUAUUGUCUGUCUCUAUCAUUUUAGUGAUUUUGGUGGGUAUGUGUAGAAUAAUUUCACAGUGCUUUUAAUUUACACAUCACAGAUAACUUAGAAAUGACCAUAUUUUUUAUGUGAUGCUUGUCAUAUCUUCUGUGAAGUGGUGGUUCAAUUAUUUUAUCAAUUUUCUAUUGGGUUUUAGCCUUUCAAUCAUUAAUUUGAAGUUAUUGUCAUAUGAUUGUUAUUUGAUUGGUAUAUGUUCGUAAUUGAAUAUAUGUAUUGCAAACAUUUUCUCCUUGUCUGUGGUAUCCUUGUUCAUUCUCUUAAUAGUGUUGCUU
rnacentral:lncRNA from 10 species